rnacentral:rRNA from 1 species
UACGGAGGGUGCAAGCGUUAUCCGGAUUCACUGGGUUUAAAGGGUGCGUAGGCGGGUUGGUAAGUCCGUGGUGAAAUCUCCAAGCUUAACUUGGAAACUGCCGUGGAUACUAUCAAUCUUGAAUAUCGUGGAGGUAAGCGGAAUAUGUCAUGUAGCGGUGAAAUGCUUAGAUAUGACAUAGAACACCAAUUGCGUAGGCAGCUUACUACACGAUCAUUGACGCUGAGGCACGAAAGCGUGGGAGCAAACAGG